GCGCGAAAACUUUACAAUGCGAGCAAUCGUGAUAAGGGAACUCCGAGUGCCUGUAAAAUCAGGCUGUCCGCCAGUGUAAAUAACUGGUGAAGAAAGGGCCGGGCAAGACCGGUGCCAGCCGCCGCGGUAAUACCGGCGGCUCGAGUGGUGGCCACUAUUACUGGGCUUAAAGCGUUCGUAGCUGGUCUGUUAAGUCUCUGGGGAAAUCUUCCGGCUUAACCGGAAGGCGUCUCAGGGAUACUGGCAGACUAGGGACCGGAAGAGGUGAGAGGUACUCCAGGGGUAGGAGUGAAAUCCUGUAAUCCUUGGGGGACCACCUGUGGCGAAGGCGUCUCACCAGGACGGCUCCGACAGUGAGGAACGAAAGCUGGGGGAGCAAACCGGAUUAGAUACCCGGGUAGUCCCAGCUGUAAACGAUGCACGUUAGGUGUAUCGGUGACCACGAGUCACCGAGGCGCC
rnacentral:rRNA from 1 species